ACGGGUGCGGAACACGUACGCAACCUUCCUUCAAAUGGGGGAUAGCCCACCGAAAGGUGGAUUAAUACCCCGUAAGAUUUUCUGGUGGCAUCACCGGAUUAUUAUAGCUCCGGCGUUUGAAGAUGGGCGUGCGGCUGAUUAGGUAGUUGGCGGAGUAACAGCCCACCAAGCCAACGAUCAGUAACUGGUGUGAGAGCACGACCAGUCACACGGGCACUGAGACACGGGCCCGACUCCUACGGGAGGCAGCAGUAAGGAAUAUUGGUCAAUGGACGCAAGUCUGAACCAGCCAUGCCGCGUGGAGGAUGAAGGUCCUCUGGAUUGUAAACUUCUUUUAUCGGAGAAGAAACCCUAGCAUUCUUGCUGGGUUGACGGUACCCGAUGAAUAAGCACCGGCUAACUCCGUGCCAGCAGCCGCGGUAAUACGGAGGGUGCAAGCGUUAUCCGGAUUCACUGGGUUUAAAGGGAGCGUAGGUGGGUUGGUAAGUCAGUGGUGAAAUCUCCGGGCUUAACUCGGAAACUGCCGUUGAUACUAUCAAUCUUGAAUAUUGUGGAGGUAAGCGGAAUAUGUCAUGUAGC
rnacentral:rRNA from 1 species